GUACAUUUAUUUGACAGACCGGAAGCAGUUACUGUCUUCUGUAAGGUUUCCAGUACAGAAGCAAGAAAAGGGUAUCCUGGUGCUUCCUAUCUGUCUCUUCAGACAGUCAAGACCAAAUCCAGGAAUAGAGAG
rnacentral:snoRNA from 1 species